rnacentral:tRNA from 1 species
GCGGGUUUAGCUCAGUUUGGGAGAGCGUUGCACUGAAGAUGCAAAGGUCGGGUGUUCGAUCCACCCAAGCCGCA